GUCAUAUGCUGUYUCAAAGAUAAGCCAUGCAUGUCUCAGUACAAGCCAAAUUAAGGUGAAACCGCGAAAGGCUCAUUAAAUCAGUUAUGGUUCCUUAGAUCGUACCCACAAUUACUUGGAUAACUGUGGUAAUUCUAGAGCUAAUACAUGCAAACAGAGCUCCGACCGGAGACGGAAGGAGUGCUUUUAUUAGAUCAAAACCAAUCGGUGGCGGGUUCGCUCGUCAUCGUACAACUUGGUGACUCUGAAUAACUUUACGCUGAUCGCACGGUCAUCGCACCGGCGACGCAUCUUUCAAAUGUCUGCCUUAUCAACUGUCGAUGGUAGGUUCUGCGCCUACCAUGGUUGUAACGGGUAACGGGGAAUCAGGGUUCGAUUCCGGAGAGGGAGCCUGAGAAACGGCUACCACAUCCAAGGAAGGCAGCAGGCGCGCAAAUUACCCACUCCCGGCACGGGGAGGUAGUGACGAAAAAUAACGAUACGGGACUCAUCCGAGGCCCCGUAAUCGGAAUGAGUACACUCUAAACCCUUUAACGAGGAUCAAUUGGAGGGCAAGUCUGGUGCCAGCAGCCGCGGUAAUUCCAGCUCCAAUAGCGUAUAUUAAAGUUGUUGCGGUUAAAAAGCUCGUAGUCGAAUUUGUGUCUCGCGCCGCCGGUUCAUCGUCCGCGGUGUUAACUGGCGAGUCGCGAGACGUCCUGCCGGUGGGCUUAGCUCGCAAGGGCUAACCCAACUCAAUCCUGCCGCGGUGCUCUUCAUUGAGUGUCGAGGUGGGCCGGCACGUUUACUUUGAACAAAUUAGAGUGCUUAAAGCAGGCUAAAACUUCGCCUGAAUACUGUGUGCAUGGAAUAAUGAAUAGGACCUCGGUUCUAUUUUGUUGGUUUUCGGAACCCCGAGGUAAUGAUUAAUAGGAACGGAUGGGGGCAUUCGUAUUGCGACGUUAGAGGUGAAAUUCUUGGAUCGUCGC
rnacentral:rRNA from 1 species